GCUCAUCUGUGAAGCAAGGUCGAGCCCAGUGCUCAUCAGAGAAGGUCCGCUUAAUGGAAUUUCUCCUUGCCUAUGCUGUGAGGAUCAAACGGAAAUAAUUCAGAUCAGAUCCUUAGGAAUGGGCCUGGACACAGGAAACCUCAAUACAUAUAAGCUGUUGCAGUCUUUGCGAUUCUACCUCCAUAUCCAAUGGCCAAGCCCAGUUGGAUCUAAAACAGCUUGAAGGCUAUGGCACAGCAGUGAGCAGUGCAGGCAAUCUGUGCAGGCCAGAGCCCCUGGCUCUUCAUCCACACAGGAAGAAGGGACCAGUUUAUAUCAAUCAGAGCAGUAGCCUGAGAAGGUGGACAUGAAACUCAAGCAUGGAUCCCUAAGGAAGGCAGGCAGCCCUGGUGAGUGGGAGCCUUCUACUGUGUGGUGGAGUUUGCCCGUUGUGGGGUAGCCCACCAUUGCCUGGGCUAGGCUCUCUCUCCAGAAUCGCCCUUACCACCUGGACCUGAGCACUACUGCAGUGAGAUCUGACUCUGCACUUGGCUGUUUGGUACGCUUCCGGGAGGUUUGUAGGGAUGAUUCACUACUCCCUGGCAAGUCUAGCUCCAGCCUCUCUGCAUGGGUGACAGUGAAAUUCCAUCACAAACUCCUUCUUCUAGUUCCUUGGGUCUUGCUUUUGCAUUUAGCAGAUUGAGGGUUGCCUUUAUUUUCUUUCGAAUGGGUCUCACUUCAUUUAAAGAAAGUAUCUAACAAAUGUUUUUUUUAGAUUUUUCUCGAUUGUGGUAGCAUCUUUAAUUGAUUUUCUCAGAUAGUUACUGAUUUCCUCCUAUUUUUAAAAAUUCCUUUGAAGGAGCAGGAAGGAGUUAAGCCCUUGUGCUCAAUUAUUAUCAUGAGUUGAAAAUUACAUUUUCCAGUUUAAUUCUUUUUUUCUCUCACUUAAAACCAAAAAGUUUUAAUUUUUACAUAAUACCUCCUUAUUGAAUCUGCCCAACUAAUCAAGGGGAAAAUGCAAUGAAAGCAAAUUACCUGGUAGAAAUAUCAGGAUAUCUUUAAUAGCUGUAAAGUAUUAUUUAACAUGUAAUUUGGAUACUCUCAGAAUAAUAGGCACUGUAUUCUUUGGGGGUGUUUUGCUCUAUUCUUUUCUCUAUACUUUCUUUGUUCUCUCUCCUCUCUCCAUAGUCAGUUCAUAUUAGGAUACCUAGUGGGUGAUUUUAGGAAUAAAUAACUCAUUCAUUAAACACAAUUUGAGCCCCACCAUUUACAAAGCUUUCAGCAAAAGGUUAUAGGAAAUGUAAAGGGUAACCAGGUGCUGGCUAUAGCAAUUGCCAUCAUAAAAUUAUAAGCAAGCUUCAAGAGAAGAGCACAUGAAAAGAUGUUCAACAUGAUUAGUCAUUAGGGAAAUGCAAAUCAAGCCUACAAUGAGGUACAACUUCACACCCACUAGGAAAGCUAGAACAAAAAAGGCAGGCAAUAACAAGUGUCUGUGAAGGUGUGGAGAAAUUGGAACCCUCCUAUUCUUUGAGGUGGUGAAAAUGUUCCAGCAUUACAGAGUGGUGAUGGUUGCCCAGUCACGUCAAUAUACUGAAAACGACUGACUUGUACAAUUUGCAAGACACGUAUUUGACAUGUAUUAGUCAGAAUUGGUUAAGUACUGUAACAAAUAAACCAAAUCUCAAAGGCCUUUAAAAUAACCCUAAAACUUCAAUAGGAAGUGGGGGAGGAAGAGCUCAAUUCUGACAAGGGGGACUUUGGAAAGCUGCUUAGAACGAAUGAGUUCUAAGCCAUACCACAGAGAACAAGUGAUAAUACAGUAGCCAUUUACUAAUAGCGAAGUGUGCCAAACACCAGGCCUUUAUUUCUAAUUCUCUGUAUACAUAGUAUGGUCACUCUGCUGCAGAUGAAGAACUUGAGGCUCAGUGGUCAAGAUGUCUUCCCCACAUGACAGAGCUGCUGAGUGGCAGAGAAUACUGGAAUCAGCUGGGAGGCCAGCUCUUGAUAUGUGUAGGGGGUUGAGUAGUCUACACAGAGGGACAUGUGCAAGGGCACAGGGGUAGAAAACAGCAGAAUAUGGAUGGGAAACAGCAAAUCAGCUGGGUAGCUGGGCCAUCAUCCAUCCAGUUAGCGAUUGGAACUGAGAAUCAGCCUGGAAAGGCAAGCAGAGGCCAAAUUAUGGAAGGUUUGGUGUCGUGAUGGAGAAGUUUAGAAUUCAUUCUGGACCAUCAAAGAGC